UGGCCCUACGGGGGGCAGCAGUGGGGAAUAUUGCACAAUGGGGGAAACCCUGAUGCAGCAACGCCGCGUGAGUGAAGAAGGUUUUCGGAUUGUAAAGCUCUGUUAGCAGGGAAGAGGAAGGACGGUACCUGCAGAGGAAGCCACGGCUAACUACGUGCCAGCAGCCGCGGUAAUACGUAGGGGGCAAGCGUUAUCCGGAUUUACUGGGUGUAAAGGGAGCGUAGACGGAAUUGCAAGUCUGAUGUGAAAAUCCGGGGCCCAACCCCGGAACUGCAUUGGAAACUGUAUUUCUAGAGUGUCGGAGG
rnacentral:rRNA from 1 species